rnacentral:rRNA from 1 species
UACGGGGGGAGCAAGCGUUGUUCGGAUUUACUGGGCGUAAAGGGCGCGUAGGCGGUCGUGACAAGUCACUUGUGAAAUCUCCGGGCUUAACUCGGAACGGUCAAGUGAUACUGUCGGACUAGAGUACAGAAGGGGCAACUGGAAUUCUCGGUGUAGCGGUGAAAUGCGUAGAUAUCGGGAGGAACACCGGUGGCGAAGGCGGCUCACUGGUCCGGUACUGACGCUGAGGUGCGAAAGCGUGGGGGAGCAAACAGG